UACGUAGGGCGCAAGCGUUGUCCGGAAUUACUGGGCGUAAAGGGCUCGUAGGCGGCCAACUAAGUCGGAUGUGAAAUCCCCAGGCUUAACCUGGGAACUGCAUCCGAUACUGGAUGGCUUGAAUUCGGGAGAGGGAUGCAGAAUUCCAGGUGUAGCGGUGAAAUGCGUAGAUAUCUGGAGGAAUACCGGUGGCGAAGGCGGCAUCCUGGACCGACAUUGACGCUGAGGAGCGAAAGCUAGGGGAGCAAACGGG
rnacentral:rRNA from 1 species